UACGUAGGGGGCAAGCGUUGUCCGGAAUCAUUGGGCGUAAAGAGCGCGUAGGCGGCCCUGUAAGUCCGCUGUGAAAGUCAAGGGCUCAACCCUUGAAUGCCGGUGGAUACUGCAGGGCUAGAGUCCGGAAGAGGCGAGUGGAAUUCCUGGUGUAGCGGUGAAAUGCGCAGAUAUCAGGAGGAACACCGAUGGCGAAGGCAGCUCGCUGGGACGGUACUGACGCUGAGGCACGAAGGCCAGGGGAGCAAACGGG
rnacentral:rRNA from 1 species